AGCAUAUCAAUAAGCGGAGGAAAAGAAACCAACAGGGAUUGCCUCAGUAACGGCGAGUGAAGCGGCAACAGCUCAAAUUUGAAAUCUGGCCUCGGCCCGAGUUGUAAUUUGUAGAGGAAGCUUUUGGUGCGGCACCGACCGAGUCCCCUGGAACGGGGCGCCAUAGAGGGUGAGAGCCCCGUAUGGUUGGACGCCUAUCCUCUGUAAAGCUCCUUCGACGAGUCGAGUAGUUUGGGAAUGCUGCUCAAAAUGGGAGGUAAAUUUCUUCUAAAGCUAAAUACUGGCCAGAGACCGAUAGCGCACAAGUAGAGUGAUCGAAAGAUGAAAAGCACUUUGAAAAGAGGGUUAAAUAGCACGUGAAAUUGUUGAAAGGGAAGCGCUUGUGACCAGACUUGCGCCUCGUCGAUCAUCCGGGGUUCUCCCCGGUGCACUCGGCGGGGCUCAGGCCAGCAUCGGUUUUCGCGGGGGGACAAAGGUCCCGGGAACGUAGCUCCUCCGGGAGUGUUAUAGCCCGGGGCGCAAUGCCCUCGCGGGGACCGAGGACCGCGCUUCGGCAAGGAUGCUGGCGUAAUGGUCACCAGCGACCC
rnacentral:rRNA from 1 species